GCUUAACGCGAAGAACCUUACCAGGGCUUGACAUGGAAGUGACCGGACGAGAGAUCGUUCUUCUCCCGCAAGGGAGCACUUCACACAGGUGCUGCAUGGCUGUCGUCAGCUCGUGUCGUGAGAUGUUGGGUUAAGUCCCGCAACGAGCGCAACCCUCGUUUCUAGUUGCCAGCAUUCAGUUGGGCACUCUAGAGAGACUGCCGCGAAUAACGCGGAGGAAGGUGGGACGACGUCAAGUCAUCAUGGCCCUUACGUCCUGGGCUACACACGUGCUACAAUGGGUGUCACAGAGGGUCGCAAGAGCGCAAGCUGGAGCCAAUCCCCAAAAACACCCUCAGUUCGGAUCGAGGUCUGCAACCCGACCUCGUGAAGGUGGAAUCGCUAGUAAUCGCGGAUCAGAACGCCGCGGUGAAUACGUUCCCGGGUC
rnacentral:rRNA from 1 species